UACGGGGGGGGCAAGCGUUGUUCGGAAUUACUGGGCGUAAAGGGCUCGUAGGUGGCCAACUAAGUCGGACGUGAAAUCCCUCAGCUUAACUGGGGAACUGCGUCCGAUACUGGAUGGCUUGAGUUUGGGAGAGGGAUGCGGAAUUCCAGGUGUAGCGGUGAAAUGCGUAGAUAUCUGGAGGAACACCGGUGGCGAAGGCGGCAUCCUGGACCAACACUGACACUGAGGAGCGAAAGCCAGGGGAGCAAACCGG
rnacentral:rRNA from 1 species